CAGGCUGCGUUUCCAUCAAAAAACAUUAUUUGCCAAUAUCAUAACUGAAGCUGGACAUCUUUGGAGCAUAAGAAUGAGGACAGCUUUUGUAUGCUAACGUACACUCCUUAACAGUUGUACUGGAUGAAAACACAGCAAGAAAACGCAUGCCAAUAUGUAAUAUUCAUCUAUUUUAUUGCAGUACUGGUAGUUAUUUCAACAACUUGUUUUACUAGAGGACAAAAACUGAAUAUGCGUAACCCAUAUUUAAUAUCCAUGCAGUGACUGAACAACAACUGCAUUUCCACCCCCAUCUCUAAGGCAUAGUAUCAUGGCUGGUCACCUGUCAAGUCACAUGUCAGGUCAGUCAGUCACCUAUUGCUGCAGAUGUGCUCAAUAAUGCUUGAGUAUGUGAUACUCCUCAAAGCAUGGUGAAAUACAUAGAGGUGUAUCACAAGCUAGACACAUGUAUUUUGUCAUCUUCCUCUGCUUACUUCUCCUGGCGCCAGACAGGCAGACUUUGCAAUGCCUCCGUGUGCGACUACCUUGAGAAGCAGUUUGAGGGACUUUGCAGGGAAAAUGUCGUGCAGUGAGGCGUAGGGGAUUGUCUACAGCAGGACGACCCCCAGUGGAUGGGCGCCGAGGGGUGUGGUGCUCCUCCAGCAGCUCUCUCAUGAGGUUCUCUCUGUAUUUUUGGUGGUCCACCUUCCCUGUGGCCGACAUGGUUGCUGUAUGGACAGUGGAGAGGACAUGGACGUCUCGCUUGUCAUGCCACUUUACUGCCAGCUGUUGACCGUUCUCUUGGAACUCC